rnacentral:rRNA from 1 species
GGGGGGAAUCGAGGUCUUUGACGCAGUUGCGCCCGAAGCCACUAGGCUGAGGGCACGUCUGCCUGGGUGUCA